rnacentral:miRNA from 2 species
AAGAGAAGCAAAGUAGAA